rnacentral:rRNA from 1 species
UACGAAGGGUGCAAGCGUUAAUCGGAAUUACUGGGCGUAAAGCGUGCGCAGGCGGUUAUGCAAGACAGAUGUGAAAUCCCCGGGCUCAACCCUGGGAACUGCAUUUGUGACUGUAUGGCUAGAGUGCGGCAGAGGGGGAUGGAAUUCCGCGUGUAGCAGUGAAAUGCGUAGAUAUGCGGAGGAACACCGAUGGCGAAGGCAAUCCCCUGGGCCUGCACUGACGCUCAUGCACGAAAGCGUGGGGAGCAAACAGG